rnacentral:lncRNA from 1 species
AUUCACCAGUCUCUUUGUAAAAAGUAAGCAUGUAAAUUAAACCUAAUUAUUAACAAUUUCAUAUCAUAAAAUAAAUGGAAAUAUACUGUAUCAAACAAGCUAUUGAGAAGUUAGAAAAACAUUUGGGGUACUUGCAUUAGUGAUCGUUCACCAUAACGUUUAACCAAAAAAAAAAAAAAUUAAUGAAAGAGAGAAUAUAGAUAAAAGCACAAUCGUUUCUGUAGGAAGAAUCUUGCACAUAACUAGUCUUGCAUUAUUAUAGAUUGGGUAUCUUGCACAUAACUCCACACAAC